AUUGAACGCUGGCGGCAGGCCUAACACAUGCAAGUCGAGCGAGCGGCGGACGGGUGAGUAAUGUCUGGGAAACUGCCUGCUGGAGGGGGAUAACUACUGGAAACGGUAGCUAAUACCGCAUACCAUCAGAUGUGCCCAGAUGGGAUUAGCUAGUAGGUGGGGUAAUGGCUCACCUAGGCGACGAUCCCUAGCUGGUCUGAGAGGAUGACCAGCAAGACUGGAAGGGAGACACGGUCCAGACUCCAACGGGAGGCAGCAGUGGGGAUUAUUGCACAAGGGGCGCAAGCCUGAUGCGGCCAUGCCGGGUGUGUGAAGAAGGCCUUCGGGUUGUAAAGCACUUUCAGCGGGGAGGCGUUACCCGCAGAAGAAGCAACGGCUAACUCCGUGCCAGCAGCCGCGGUAAUAC
rnacentral:rRNA from 1 species